UACGGAGGGUGCAAACGUUGCUCGGAAUCAUUGGGCGUAAAGCGCACGUAGGCGGCCUGUUAAGUCGGAUGUGAAAGCCCCGGACUCAACCCGGGAAGUGCAUUCGAAACUGGCGGGCUUGAAUAUGGAAGAGGGUCGCGGAAUUCCCGGUGUAGAGGUGAAAUUCGUAGAUAUCGGGAGGAACACCAGUGGCGAAGGCGGCGACCUGGGCCAAUAUUGACGCUGAGGCGCGAAAGCCAGGGGAGCAAACGGG
rnacentral:rRNA from 1 species